rnacentral:rRNA from 1 species
AUUGAACGCUGGCGGCAUGCUUUACACAUGCAAGUCGAACGGCAGCGCGGGCUUCGGCCUGGCGGCGAGUGGCGAACGGGUGUGUAAUGCAUCGGAACGUGCCCAGUAGUGGGGGAUAGCCCGGCGAAAGCCGGAUUAAUACCGCAUACGACCUGAGGGUGGAAGCGGGGGACCGAAAGGCCUCGCGCUAUUUGAGCGGACGAGGUCGGAUUAGCGAGUUGGUGGGGUAAAGGCUUACCACGGCGACGAUCCGUAGCUGGUCUGAGAGGACGACCGGCCACACUGGAACUGAGACGCGGCCCAGCCUCCUACGGGAGGCAGCAGUGGGGAAUUUUGGACAAUGGGGGCAACCCUGCUCCAGCCAUGCCGCGUGCGAGAAGAAGGCCUUCGGGUUGUAAACCGCUUUUGUUCGGGAAGAAAUCCUCUGGGCUAAUACCCCGGGGGGAUGACGGUACCGGAAGAAUAAGCACCGGCUAACUACGUG